AGGUUGCUUCGGUAACUGACCUAGCGGCGGACGGGUGAGUAAUGCUUAGGAAUCUGCCUAUUAGUGGGGGACAACAUUCCGAAAGGAAUGCUAAUACCGCAUACGCCCUACGGGGGAAAGCAGGGGAUCUUCGGACCUUGCGCUAAUAGAUGAGCCUAAGUCGGAUUAGCUAGUUGGUGGGGUAAAGGCCUACCAAGGCGACGAUCUGUAGCGGGUCUGAGAGGAUGAUCCGCCACACUGGGACUGAGACACGGCCCAGACUCCUACGGGAGGCAGCAGUGGGGAAUAUUGGACAAUGGGCGCAAGCCUGAUCCAGCCAUGCCGCGUGUGUGAAGAAGGCCUUUUGGUUGUAAAGCACUUUAAGCGAGGAGGAGGCUCCUUUAGUUAAUACCUAAAGAGAGUGGACGUUACUCGCAGAAUAAGCACCGGCUAACUCUGUGCCAGCAGCCGCGGUAAUACAGAGGGUGCGAGCGUUAAUCGGAUUUACUGGGCGUAAAGCGUGCGUAGGCGGCUUUUUAAGUCGGAUGUGAAUCCCUGAGCUUAACUUAGGAAUUGCAUUCGAUACUGGAAAGCUAGAGUAUGGGAGAGGAUGGUAGAAUUCCAGGUGUAGCGGUGAAAUGCGUAGAGAUCUGGAGGAAUACCGAUGGCGAAGGC
rnacentral:rRNA from 1 species